rnacentral:rRNA from 1 species
GCUAAGGCGGGGCCAGGGGACGAGGUAAUACGGAGGGUGCUAGGGUGUGUCGGAAUUACUGGGCGUAAAGCGAACGUAGGCGUGUUUGUAAGUUAGAGGUGAAAGCCCGGUGCUCAACUCCGGAAUUGCCUUUAAGACUGCAUCGCUAGAAUUGUGGAGAGGUAAGUGGAAUUCCGAGUGUAGAGGUGAAAUUCGUAGAUAUUCGGAAGAACACCAGUGGCGAAGGCGACUUACUGGACACAUAUUGACGCUGAGGUGCGAAAGCGUGGGGAGCAAACAGGAUUAGAUACCCUAUUAGUC